GGAGGAAAAAGUCCAUUGAUUUCUCUCAGGAACAAAUGGAACCAUUAGUGUAAUAGAACACUACCUUAGUUUAGAUCAAUAAGACUUUCUAACACAAGGUAAAUAUUCUUUGAUUCCUUAAGCGCUGUGUUAUAUCAACUGAGCAACUUUACACACAGGAAGGAAAUAAGCCACUCUUCUCUAUCAUGAAAGUUCUGGAAGAAGGGAAAUAAAUCUCAGUUAUCAAAAUCUGAGUUUAAGCCAGCCUCAUCAGCCUAUUAUAUAGCUGGAAUAAUAUUAACAGUAAUAACCCAGGUGUUAGGUGUCUUUGUUUUUGCCCUCAAGGCAAAACCUCUAGGCAAGACCUCAGGGACCUUUUCAGUCCUCAGUACAUGUUCCUGGGAGUCUCCAGAAGAUAUGUCUAAACUGAGUGAGCUAUCUUGAGAUAUUAACUGUACUACUAUUCCCAUUGGGGUGCUAGCACACUUAGUAACCUUCACUUCUGCUUGUUAGGUACUAUAGUGUAUACCAAACAUCACGUUGCUCUCAGAAACUACCACUGCCUCCUUUCAGGAACCUGAUGUUCCCUCCUCGCUCUACCAUUGCUCUGCCAAGUGCUGGCUAUCUCCUAUGCACUGAAUCUCUCCAUGGGCCAAAGAAGCAUGGUAAAGGGACACACAUCUUCAGCCAUUAACUAUCCUUCCCAGAGAAGUGUGGCCACCAUUUGCUCCAUGAGGUUGUCAAAAUCAAAUGGAUUACAACAGAAAAUUCUUUUUAUGCUAAAAACAGUGGAUUCAGGUGUGAGAGGAAAAAAUUAGAAAGUAAAGGAAGAAGCAGUUUUUCUUGCCCGUCCCCUAACAAGGGUCACUGGACCUCCAGGGAGCUUCACCAUGAGUCCAAGUUAAAUCCGCCAGUGGAGAGGAUUCUCAGGCCUUGAAGGGAGAAAUGUCACCCAAAAGGAAGCUAUUAAGUCAAGAAGAUGAUGGAAAUGUGGAUCAGAGAAGUCAAAUAACUUCACUGUAAGAACAAAACUAGAAAAUUGAUUUGAAAAGGCCUAUGCCCUUUCCACUAUUUCUGCUGAUGCAAAUACAAUUCCACCUGAAUGUGAAAGUGAUCCUGGCCAUUUCUAUUUUUUUGAAUGAAAAGCAAGUCUGGUUGUUAUGGAGCAGGAGAUAUACAUAUAUAAAUAUCUAAUUACUGGAAAGAGGACUGGAAAAUGUCUCAGUGCUUCCACUGACAGGCUAUAUGACUUUCAUGAGUCAUCUCACCUCUCUGGUCCUCAUGUUCCACAUUGGCAAAAAGAGGAACUUGAACUAGUUUAGUGUAUUUAUCCAUUUAAUUUCUCUGAGUUUCAGUUUCCUUAUCUGUGAAACAGGAAUAUAAGUUUGCUCUCCCAGAAAAAUUUUGGGAAUAAAUAAUAAAAGGUGAUUCUUAAAGUGUGUUCUGGUUAGACUCCACCUCUAGAUGGAGGUGUAUCCAAGAAUUGCACACAUCCUUUAAAAACAUUCUUCAAACCACCACAUAAUUGCUGUACAGUGUAGGUAUCAUUAUUAUUAAUUUUACAUAGCUGUAGAUCAUUUUUUCUGGGGAGCAAAUAUUAAUAUUAAUAGCAAAUAUUAAUACAAAAUGUUUCAUACAAGUCAAUUCUAAGGCUGCUUUCUCCAAAUAUGAAAUUGUUGUGUCCUCAAGAAAUAUCUUCAACUUUUAUAUUAGCCAAAGUAAAACAUAACUUGGAAUAAUAAUUCUUGUAAAAAUAUUAUUAACACAUUUGCUGCCACGUGAGUUGUGUUUAACUCAUGCUAGUUUUGAGCCUGGGGGCUCAUGAAGCAAAACCUGGGCAAAACUCUGCAGUUGGUUUCAGAAAUAUUAUG